CCUCGGUCAUGGGCACAAGUUCGUAGUAGGUCACACUAUCGGGUCUCGGUCGAAAUGGAGGAUAAACCUGCUAAUAACUUGUGUGAUAAUUAAAAUGUGAUAAAUCAUGUGAUGACUUGGACUAUGGGAAAAUCGUGAGAAGUCACGGUGAUGCGUUGAUAUGACCCCCGAGGCGAGGUCUCGGUAAGUCAUGCGUGUGCUCCGAGGAGCCGUGGCAGAGUAAGUGAUUGUUGCAUAAGGUUAAUACAACAUAUCUUCAUGGGAGGUAAAUGGUAGUUUAUUUUCAGCAUAGUUUCAUGAUGCCAUGCCACGUUUUGAUAUGCUAUGCUUUGCUUUUGCUAUGUUAGAAGUAAUUUUGAUAUGCCAUGCUAGUAGAUGCUAUGCUGCUAUUCAUGCUUAGUUUGAUUUAUGAUUCUAGUUAAUAUCAUGCCAUGCUUAGAAGUUGUGUUGAAGUAGACUGUUUGCAUAUGAUUGGUUCUUGCUUUGUCAUCUGUUUGUUUGGAUGCUAUGUAUUUGGUUGUCUUGUAAGUACAUUCAAUGUACUGACCUGGCGUGUCAUGCCAGUUUUGUAGGUCGUGCCCGAAUUGUUCGCUUGUUCCGUCGUGCUAGGCCGUAAUCUUGCCAGUCCUGUGAGUUAUGGAGUCCAUCCAGAGUGAGACGCUGCCAAACCAAGACUUCCGCCGCCAUUUAAAUAGACUUCCGCUGCCAUUUAAUAGCCUUAUGGCUAUGCCAGAUAAUUGUAUCCAUCAAUGAUGUAAUCAUAUACACAUGUAUUUGAUGAAUAUUAUUGUACCUAGAAUGCUGUAUCAUGAACCUGUCGUGCAUCAGGUGUUAUCCUGGGCUGACGUGCGAAGGCCCCCUGCUCCAUGCUAAUCGGGGUGCCACAGGAGAUGGUAUCAGAGCAGCCAGGCUGGCAUAGGUUAUCCUAGCAUUAGAUCACCGCUACCAUCAACCCGUAAUGACCCUAAGGGAUUUGACCCAUCCCUGGCAUCCGGCAUGGCCACUGUUAAUCAACAGGUGGCGCAGUCAGGACCGACACGUCCUCACCCCGCUGUCCCCGCCUAGUUAUCCGUGGAACGAAUAGAAACCCUAUCCUUUCUGGUCGGCCGCACCGCUUUCCCUUCGCCAUUAAGGGAAAGGGGCCACGCCAUGCGGGCAUGUCCCGCAUAGCUGCCUAUAAAAGCCCCUUUCCGCUAGCCGUAUCGCUCACCCCUCAGUCAGCCAUGUCCCUGUAGAGAAGCUUAGCUAGUAACACUCCAGCCAUGACUAGCACCUUCAAAGCUCCCAAGUUUUACACCCGCACCUGUGCCAUCAACCAUACCGGCUUUCCACCCCUUCUCAUUGAGAUGCUCACCAAAGCCUUUGGUUGUAAUGCUAGCCCCGAUUACCUGGUGUUCCAGUCGAAACCAGUCCCUCACCUUCAUCGCUAUGAUGCAAGAGUGCACAUCGACCCAUGUCCUGCAGUAGAUGGCCAACCUUUGGUUUUUCAGGGUAUAGCCAUACCUACCGCUGAUUUAGCCAUUCAGGCCGCUACUGUGGAAGCCAUCCUAUACCUCUGAACCAAGUUCCUGCAUGUGCCAACGAGGCGGGAGUUCUGCUUUUUCCACAUUGUGGCAGAAGCAGGAAUGCAGCCUUCUCCCGCUAUCCAAGGAGAUGACCCCGCAAUCGCUCGCCUUGUGCAAUAUAUCACUGCCCAGGGGAUGAUGAUUUCUAAGAUGCUUGCCGAAUUUAGAACCCUGGACAACGAUGCGGUAAGAGUUGUCAAGGAAGCUUAUCGUGAGGCUCGUAAAUUCGCAUCCCAAGCCGUUCAUCCCAUGCCAUCUGAACCAGUGCUACCCUCUCAGCCUGUGUUGUGGCCCAGGCCAAACAUCGCCACCCUCGACAAGGCUCUUUUACGGAUCCACCAGCAGCAUUUGCUUGGAUCAAUUUCAGCCACACCUCCAGUAGUCGAACCCCAACCCAUAGUAGUAUCGGAUGAUGAAGAUGGAGAUUGGCUCAGUCUUCGUCCUCCAGGAGAGCCCCAGCAAGGCCAGUCCUCUGCAUGACCUCAGUCGCGUAGUGAGAUGAUUCUGCGAGUAGGUCAAUCGGUCUGUUCAUCCUCGAUAUGAGGAUAGAACUAUGUAUCCCGGAGUAAGUAGUUUUGUUUAGCGCGUAGAGCGUUCGUGCUUUAUUGUAUGCUGUAAUCCGUAUGCUGUGUAUGUUUUUGUGCUUUUGUUUUCAUGCUUGUUUUUGUUUGUCUCUCUGUCAAGCAGAGAUGUUUGACAGGGUUGGCAAUGUGUUGCUAACAAGAUUUUAAUCAGUACGACACAUACACUAAAAACAACAUUGGCUCGUCCUGAGUCUAUUAAAAUGCGCGCUGGUGUAGGUAUAUGUAUGCCAGGAUUACAUAUACCCACUCGCAUUAAAACACCUUAGAAUGAUUUGUCUGCUGUGUUUGCAUUACAUGUUUGUUGCAUCGGUCUGUUUGUUAGUUUGUUUGUAUUGCAUACUGCACGCACACCCGGUUCACCCACGAGUACAUUCGGGCAGUACUCGGGGGAAUGCAAAGUCACAUAUCCCUCUCUAUCUGUGCAUACCCCGUGUGCCAGAUUUCCCGAUCCAGAGCCUCGCAGAGGCAUUUCCGUCUGGCAGUUCCUCGUUUCUAAUUAUUUUUCCCGAUUUCAUUUCCGGAGGAACACUGCUAAUUUUAUUUCACUUGAUCUAGUACAUCUACCCCCAUACAGAUUUCAACUCCGAUUCUACCUUGACAUCUACUUUUUCGUGGAGCAACCCGCGAAAUUUUCCCGAACCCCGGCGUGAUUCUUGAGCUGGCGCAGCCACCUCACCUGCAUCUGGACCCCACCACCCUCGCCUCUGCCUUGCGUGAUGCAGGCAAGUCAUCACCAACGCUCCACCGCAGCACGUGAUUACUCUGCCGGCGUGAAGCGACGGAGAAUCAAACGUGGCGGAGGACCACCCCGUGCACCAUCUUCUCCCGCAUCUCGAGCCAUCGCACCUAGCCGCGCGUUUUCCCGAAACCGAUCAUUCUUGAUGAGGAUCAGUAGGAGAAACCACUGUUCAUUGGGGUGCAUCCAGCAUUUUUCGGGAGUCUGAUCUCGAGUGCCUGUAACGCCCAUGAUGUGGCUAUAUCUCCCACGUGUCGAGGCACGACUUAGAGGCAUAACCGCAUUGUGGUUUUGUCGCAAGAAGGGUCAUCUUCACACAAUCCCAUGUAAUGAAAAAGAAUGGGAUAACGAGAGUUGGCUUACAAUCGCCACUUCACACAAUACAUAAAUUAAUUCAUACAUCAUCCAAAAUCCACACAUAGACCGACUACGGUCAAAUCCAAAUGAAAAUAAGAUAACCCCAAAUGCUAGAUCCCCGAUCGUCCCAACUGGGCUCCACUACUGAUCAUCAAGAAAAGAAACAUAGUAACGACCACGUUCCUCGUCGAACUCCCACUUGAGCUCGGUAGCGUCACCUGUACUGGCAUCGUCGGCACCUGCAACUGUUUUGGUAGAAUCUGUGAGUCACGAGGACUCAGCAAUCUCACACCCACGAGAUCAAGACUAUUUAAGCUUAUAGGAAAGGAUGGUGCCAUGAGGUGGAGCUGCAGCAAGCACUAAGCAUAUGGUGGCUAACAUACGCAAAUGAGAGCGAGAAGAGAAGCAACGCAACGGUCGCGAAGCUAGAAAUGAUCAAGAAGUGAUCCUGAAACUACUUACGUUCAUGCAUAACUCAAACCGUGUUCACUUCCCGGACUCCGCCGAGAAGAGACCAUCACGGCUACACACACGGUUGAUGUAUUUUAAUUAAGUCAAGUGACAAGUUCUCUACAACCGGACAUUAACAAAUUCCCAUCUGCCUCAUUGUUGGGGAACGUAGCAGAAAUUCAAAAUUUUCUACGCAUCACCAAGAUCAAUCUAUGGAGUAAUCUAGCAACGAGGGGAAGGGGAGUGAAUCUACAUACCCUUGUAGAUCGCGAUGCGGAAGCGUUGCAAGAACGCGGAUGAGGGAGUCGUACUCGUAGCGAUUCAGAUCGCGGUUGAUUCCGAUCUAAGCACCGAAAGAACGGUGCCUCCGCGUUCAACACACGUGCAGCCCGGUGACGUCUCCCACGCCUUGAUCCAGCAAGGAGAGAGGGAGAGGUUGGGGAAGAUUCCAUCCAGCAGCAGCACGACGGCGUGGUGGUGAUGGAGGAGCGUGGCAAUCCCGCAGGGCUUCGCCAAACACCGCGGGAGAGGAGGAGGAGGGAGAGGGGUAGGGCUGCGUCGAAAGGAGACGUUCUCAUGUGUGUAUGGCAGCCCAAACCUCAAGUAUAUAUAGGGGGGAAGGGGGCUGCGCCCCCCUUAGGGUUUCCACCCCCAAGAGGAGGCGGCCAGCCCUAGAUCCCAUCAAGGGGGGCGGCCAAGGGGAGGAGAGGGGGAGGCGCCCCACUAGAUGGGCCCUAAGGCCCAUCUGGACCUAGGGUUUGCCCCCUCCCACUCUCCCAUGCGCCUUGGGCCUUGGUAGGGGGGCGCACCAGCCCACCUGGGGCUGGUCCCCUCCCACACUUGGCCCACGCAGCCUUCUGGGGCUGGUGGCCCCACUUGGUGGACCCCCGGGACCCUCCCGGUGGUCCCGGUACAUCACCGAUUUCACCCGAAACUUUUCCGGUGACCAAAACAGGACUUCCCAUAUAUAAAUCUUUACCUCCGGACCAUUCCGGAACUCCUCGUGACGUCCGGGAUCUCAUCCGGGACUCCGAACAACAUUCGGUAACCACGUACAUGCUUUCCCUAUAACCCUAGCGUCAUCGAACCUUAAGCGUGUAGACCCUACGGGUUCGGGAACCAUGCAGACAUGACCGAGACGUUCUCCGGUCAAUAACCAACAGAGGGAUCUGGAUACCCAUGUUGGCUCCCACAUGUUCCACGAUGAUCUCAUCGGAUGAACCACGUUGUCGGGGAUUCAAUCAAUCCCGUAUUCAAUUCCCUUUGUCUAACGGUAUGUUACUUGCCCGAGAUUCGAUCGUCGGUAUCCCUAUACCUUGUUCAAUCUCGUUACCGGCAAGUCUCUUUACUCGUUCCGUAACUCACAUCAUCCCGUGAUCAACUCCUUGGUCACACUGUGCACAUUAUGAUGAUGUCCUACCGAGUGGGCCCAGAGAUACCUCUCCGUUUACACGGAGUGACAAAUCCCAGUCUCGAUUCGUGCCAACCCAACAGACACUUUCGGAGAUACCCGUAGUGCACCUUUAUAGCCACCCAGUUACGUUGUGACGUUUGGCACACCCAAAGCAUUCCUACGGUAUCCGGGAGUUGCACAAUCUCAUGGUCUAAGGAAGUGAUACUUGACAUUAGAAAAGCUCUGAGCAAACGAACUACACGAUCUUGUGCUAGGCUUAGGAUUGGGUCUUGUCCAUCACAUCAUUCUCCUAAUGAUGUGAUCCCGUUAUCAACGACAUCCAAUGUCCAUGGUCAGGAAACCGUAACCAUCUAUUGAUCAACGAGCUAGUCAACUAGAGGCUUACUAGGGACAUGGUGUUGUCUAUGUAUCCACACAUGUAUCUGAGUUUCCUAUCAAUACAAUUCUAGCAUGGAUAAUAAACGAUUAUCAUGAACAAGGAAAUAUAAUAAUAACCUAUUUAUUAUUGCCUCUAGGGCAUAUUUCCAACAAUCCGGUGCUUUAGUGCUGGUAUGAUCGCAUCCGACAUGUUACCCCCGUCUUCGUCCCUUAUGCUUGCCCCUCCCAGCUCCACUACACACACGAUUGCACAUUCCUUUGGCCGCUCCCGCUCAACUACGGAGACGAGUUUUACCACGGUUCAACUGCACCAGUGCCUAUUUACCAUGGUUUCGACCCCUUUCAGAACACGCUUGCCGCCGCUAGACGCGUGAAUAAUGAGCAGCGAGCUAAAACUUACCGUAAACGUGCAAAAUAAUAAAACGUGCUAAACAUACGUCGCGCUCGUGCGUUUUGUUUUGCACGCGGUACAAAAAAAUUAAAAAGGGAAUGCAACACGAGGACUUCCCAGGAGGUCACCCUUCCUAGUACUACUCUCGCCCAAGCACGCUUAACUUCGGAGUUCUGAUGGGAUCCGGUGCUUUAGUGCUGGUAUGAUCGCAUCCGACAUGUUACCCCCGUCUUCGUCCCUUAUGCUUGCCCCUCCCAGCUCCACUACACACACGAUUGCACAUUCCUUUGGCCGCUCCCGCUCAACUACGGAGACGAGUUUUACCACGGUUCAACUGCACCAGUGCCUAUUUACCAUGGUUUCGACCCCUUUCAGAACACGCUUGCCGCCGCUAGACGCGUGAAUAAUGAGCAGCGAGCUAAAACUUACCGUAAACGUGCAAAAUAAUAAAACGUGCUAAACAUACGUCGCGCUCGUGCGUUUUGUUUUGCACGCGGUGCAAAAAAAUUAAAAAGGGAAUACAACACGAGGACUUCCCAGGAGGUCACCCAUCCUACUACUACUAUCGCCCAAGCACGCUUAACUUCGGAGUUCUGAUGGGAUCCGGUGCUUUAGUGCUGGUAUGAUCGCAUCCGACAUGUUACCCCCGUCUUCGUCCCUUAUGCUUGCCCCUCCCAGCUCCACUACACACACGAUUGCACAUUCCUUUGGCCGCUCCCGCUCAACUACGGAGACGAGUUUUACCACGGUUCAACUGCACCAGUGCCUAUUUACCAUGGUUUCGACCCCUUUCAGAACACGCUUGCCGCCGCUAGACGCGUGAAUAAUGAGCAGCAAGCUAAAACUUACCGUAAACGUGCAAAAUAAUAAAACGUGCUAAACAUACGUCGCGCUCGUGCGUUUUGUUUUGCACGCGGUGCAAAAAAAUUAAAAAGGGAAUGCAACACGAGGACUUCCCAGGAGGUCACCCAUCCUAGUACUACUCUCGCCCAAGCACGCUUAACUUCGGAGUUCUGAUGGGAUCCGUGUUGGAGAACGUAGCAGAAAUUCAAAAUUUUCUACGCAUCACCAAGAUCAAUCUAUGGAGUUUACUAGCAACGAAGGGAAGGGGAGUGCAUCUACAUACCCUUGUAGAUCGCGAUGCGGAAGCGUUGCAAGAACGCGGAUGAGGGAGUCGUACUCGUAGCGAUUCAGAUCGCGGUUGAUUCCGAUCUAAGCACCGAAAGUACGGUGCCUCCGCGUUCAACACACGUGCAGCCCGGUGACGUCUCCCACGCCUUGAUCCAGCAAGGAGAGAGGGAGAGGUUGGGAAGACUCCAUCCAGCAGCAACACGACGGCAUGGUGGUGGUGGAUGAGCGUGGCAAUCCCGCAGGGCUUCGCCAAGCACCGCGGGAGAGGAGGAGGAGGGAGAGGGGUAGGGCUGCACCAAAAGGAGACGUUCUCAUGUCCGUAUGGCAGCCCAAACCUCAAGUAUAUAUAGGGGGGAAGGGGGCUGCGCCCCCUUUAGGGUUUCCACCCCCAAGAGGAGGCGGCCAGCCCUAGAUCCCAUCAAGGGGGGCGGCCAAGGGGAGGAGAGUGGGAGGCGCCCCACUAGAUGGGCCCUAAGGCCCAUCUGGACCUACGGUUUGCCCCCUCCCACUCUCCCAUGCGCCUGGGCCUUGGUGGGGGGGCGCACCAGCCCACCUGGGGCUGGUCCCCUCCCACACUUGGCCCACGCAGCCUUCUGGGGCUGGUGGCCCCACUUGGUGGACCCCCGGGACCCUCCCGGUGGUCCCGGUACAUUACCGAUUUCACCCGAAACUUUUCCGGUGACCAAAACAGGACUUCACAUAUAUAAAUCUUUACCUCCGGACCAUUCCGGAACUCCUCGUGACGUCCGGGAUCUCAUCCGGGACUCCGAACAACAUUCGGUAACCAUGUACAUACUUUCCCUAUAACCCUAGCGUCAUCGAACCUUAAGCGUGUAGACCCUACGGGUUCGGGAACCAUGCAGACAUGACCGAGACGUUCUCCGGUCAAUAACCAACAGCGGGAUCUGGAUACCCAUGUUGGCUCCCACAUGUUCCACGAUGAUCUCAUCGGAUGAACCACGAUGUCGGGGAUUCAAUCAAUCCCGUAUUCAAUUCCCUUUGUCUAACGGUAUGUUACUUGCCCGAGAUUCGAUCGUCGGUAUCCCUAUACCUUGUUCAAUCUCGUUACCGGCAAGUCUCUUUACUCGUUCCGUAACUCACAUCAUCCCGUGAUCAACUCCUUGGUCACAUUGUGCACAUAAUGAUGAUGUCCUACCGAGUGGGCCCAGAGAUACCUCUCCGUUUACACGGAGUGACAAAUCCCAGUCUUGAUUCGUGCCAACCCAACAGACACUUUCGGAGAUACCCGUAGUGCACCUUUAUAGCCACCCAGUUACGUUGUGACGUUUGGCACACCCAAAGCAUUCCUACGGUAUCCGGGAGUUGCACAAUCUCAUGGUCUAAGGAAGUGAUACUUGACAUUAGAAAAGCUCUGAGCAAACGAACUACACGAUCUUGUGCUAGGCUUAGGAUUGGGUCUUGUCCAUCACAUCAUUCUCCUAAUGAUGUGAUCCCGUUAUCAACGACAUCCAAUGUCCAUGGUCAGGAAACCGUAACCAUCUAUUGAUCAACGAGCUAGUCUCCUAGAGGCUUACUAGGGACAUGGUGUUGUCUAUGUAUCCACACAUGUAUCUGAGUUUCCUAUCAAUACAAUUCUAGCAUGGAUAAUAAACGAUUAUCAUGAACAAGGAAAUAUAAUAAUAACCUAUUUAUUAUUGCCUCUAGGGCAUAUUUCCAACAGUCUCCCACUUGCACUAGAGUCAAUAAUCUAGUUCACAUCACCAUGUGAUUAACACUGACAGGUCACAUCACCAUGUGACCAACACCCAAGAGUUUACUAGAGUCAACAAUCUAGUUCACAUCUCUAUGUGAUUAACACUCAACGAGUUCUGGUUUGAUCAUGUUAUGCUUGUGAGAGAGGUUAUUAGUCAACGGGUCUGAACCUUUCAGAUCCGUGUGUGCUUUACGAAUAUCUAUGUCAUCUUUGUGGAUGCUACCACGCGCUACUAGGAGUUGUUCCAAAUAACUGCUUUACUAUACGAAUCCGGUUUACUACUCAGAGUCAUCCGGAUUAGUGUCAAAGUUUGCAUCGACGUAACCCUUUACGACGAACUCUUUUACCACCUCCAUGAUCGAGAAAAUUCCUUAGUCCACUAGAUACUAAGGAUAAGUUCGACCGCUGUCAUGUGAUCCUUUCCCGGAUCACUAUUGUACCCCUUGACCAACUCAUGGCAAGGCACACUUCAUGUGCGGUACACAGCAUAGCAUACUGUAGAGCCUACGUCUAAAGCAUAGGGGACGACCUUCGUGCUUUCUCUCUCUUCUGAUGUGGUCAGGUCUUGAGUCUUACUCAAUACUCACACCUUGUAACACAGCCAAGAACUCCUUCUUUGCUGAUCCAUUUUGAACUCUUUCAAAAUCAUGUCAAGGUGUGCGUUCUUUGAAAGUAUCAUCAGGCGUCUUGAUCUAUCUCUAUAGAUCUUGAUGCCCAAUAUGUAAGCAGCUUUAUCCAGGUUUUCCUUUGAAAAACUCCUUUCAAACAACCCUUUAUGCUUUCCAGAAAUUUUAUAUCAUUUCGGAUCAACUAUAUGUCAUUCACAUAUACUUAUCAGAAAUGUUGUAGCGCUCCCACUCACUUUAUUGUAAAUACAAGUUUCUAACAAACUUUGUAUAAACCCAAAAACUUUGAUCACUCCAUCAAAGUGUAUAUUCUGACUCCGAGAUGCUUGCUCUAAUCCAUGGAAGGAUCGCUGGAGCUAGCAUACCUUUUAGCAUCCUUAGGAUCGACAAAAACUUUCUGAUUGUAUCACAUACAACCUUUCCUUACGAAAACUGGUAAGGAAACUUGUUUUGACAUCCAUCUGCUAGAUUUCACAAAUGCAGAUAAUGCUAACAUGAUUCCGACGGACUUAAGCACCGCUACGGAUGAGAAAAUCUCAUCGUAGUCAACUCCUUGAACUUGUGGAAAUACUCUUUGCCACAAGUCGAGCUUCAUAGACGGUAACAUUACCGUCCACGUCCGUCUUCUUCUCAAAGAUCCAUUUAUCUCGGAUUUCAUGGCUCUUAACCAUUUGUCGGAAUAUGGGCCCACCAUCGCUUCUCCAUAGCUCGUAGGUUCAGUAUUGUCCAACAACAUGAUAUCUCAGACAGGAUCACGUACCACUCUGAAGUAGCACGCAUCCUCGUCGUCCUACGAGGUUUGGUAGUGACUUGAUCCGAAGUUUCAUGAUCACUAUCAUAAGCUUCCACUUCAAUUGGUGUAGGUGCCACAGGAACAACUUCCUGUGCCCUGCUACACACUAGUUGAAGUGACGGUUCUAUAACCUUAUCAAGUCUCCACCAUCCUCCCACUCAAUUCUUUCGAGAGAAACUUUUCCUCGAGAAAGGACUCGUUUCUAGAAGCAAUUACUUUUGCUUCCAGAUCUGAAAUAGGAGGUAUACCCAACUGUUUUGGGUUUUCUAUGAAGAUGCAUUUAUCCGCUUUGGGUUCGAGCUUAUCAGCCUGAAACUUUUUCUCAUAAGCAUCGCAGCCCCAAACUUUUAAGAAACGACAACUUAGGUGUCUCUAAAUGGUGUCGUCUCAACGGAAUUGCGUGGUGCCCCUUUUAAAGUGAAUGCGGGUGUCUCUAAUGCCUAACCCAUAAACGAUAGUGGUAAUUUGAUAAGAAACAUCAUGGUAUGCACCAUAUCCAAUAGGGUGCAGUCAUGAUGUUCGGACACACCAUCACACUAUGGUGUUCCAGGCGGUAUUAAUUGUGAAACACUUUCCACAAUGUCUUAAUUGUGUGCCAAACUCGUAACUCAGAUAUCUCUAUGAUCAUAUCAUAGACAUUUUAUCCUCUUGUCACGACAAUCCUCGACUUCACUCUGAAAUUACUUGAACCUUUCAAUAAUUCAGACUUGUGUUUCAUCAAGUAAAUAUUCUCAGCAUCUACUCAAAUUAUCUGUGAAGUAAGAACAUAAUGAUAUCCACUGCAUGCCUCAGAACUCAUUGGACUGCAUACAUCAAAAUGUAUUACUUCCAAUAAGUUGCUCUCUUGUUACAUCUUACUGAAAACGAGGACUUUCAGUCAUCUCGCCCAUGUGGUAUGAUUUGCAUGUCUCAAGUGAUUCGAAAUCAAGUGAGUCCAAGCGAUCCAUCUGCAUGGAGUUUCUUCAUGCAUAUAUACCAAUAGACAUGGUUCGCAUGUCUCAAUCUUUUCAAAAAUGAGUGAGUCCAAAGAUCCAUCCACAUGGAGCUUCCUCAUGCGUUCUAUACCAAUAUGACUCAAGUGGCAGUGCCACAAGUAUGUGGUACUAUCAUUACUAUCAUAUAUCCUUUUUGGCAUGAACAUGUGUAUCACUACGAUCGAGAUUCAUUUUAGGUGCAAGACCAUUGAAGGUAUUAUUCAAACAAACAGAGUAACCAUUAUUCUCCUUAAAUGAAUAACCGUAUUGCGAUAAACAUAAUCCAAUCAUGCUCAACGCAAACACCAAAUCUCGAUAGUAGAGGGAGCAUGCGAUGCUUGAUCACAUCAACCUUGGAAACACUUCCAACACAUAUCGUCAUCUCACCUUUAGCUAGUCUCCGUUUAUUCCGCAGCUUUUAUUUCGAGUUACUAACACUUAGCAACCGAACCGGUAUCUAAUACCCUGGUGCUGCUGGGAGUACUAGUAAAGUACACAUUCAUAUGACGUAUAUCCAAUAUACUUCUGUCGACCUUGCCUGUCUUCUCAUCUACCAAGUAUCUAGGGUAGUACUGCUUCAGUGACCGUUCCUCUUAUUACAGAAGCACUUAGUCUCGGGUUUGGGUUCAACCUUGGGAUUCUUCACUAGAGCAGCAAACGACUUGCUGUUUCAUGAAGUAUCCCUUUUGCCCUUGCCCUUCUUAAACUAGUGGUUCUACUAACCAUCAACAAUUGAUGCUCCUUCUUGAUUUCUACUCUCGCGGUGUCAAACAUCGCGAAUAGCUCAAGGAUCAUCAUAACUAUCCUUGAUAUGUUAUAGUUCAUCACGAAGCUCUACUAGCUUGGUGGCAGUGACUAUGGAGAACUAUCACUAUCUCAUCUGGGAGAUUAACUCCCACUCGAUUCAAGCGACUGUGGCACUCAGACAAUCUGAGCACACGCUCAACGAUUGAGCUUUUCUCCCUUAGUUUGCAGGCUUAGGAAACUUGUCAGAGGUCUCAUACCUCUUGACGUGGGCACUAGUCUGAAAUCCCAAUUUCAGUCUUCGGAACAUCUCACAUGUUCUGCGACGUUUCAAAACGUCUUUGGUGCCACAAUUCUAAACCGUUAGCAUUACGCACUGAACUAUCACGUAGUUAUCAAAACGUGUAUGUCAGAUGUUCCGCAACAUCUACAGACGACGCUGAGGUUCAGCACACCGAGCGGUGCAUUAAGGACAUAAGCCUUCUGUGCAGCAAUGAGGACAAUCCUCAGUUUACGGAUCCAGUCCGCAUAAUUGCUACUACCAACUUUCAACUAAAUUUUUCUCUAGGAACAUAUCUAAACCAGUAGAACUUAAAGCGCAAGACAUAAUUCGCAAAGACCUUUUGACUAUGUUCAUGAUAAUGAAGUUCGUCUGAUUAAUGAACUCCCACUCAGAUAGACAUCCCUCUAGUCAUCUAAGUGAUACAUGAUCCGAGUCAAACUAGGCCGUGUCCGAUCAUCACGCGAGACGGACUAGUCAUCAUCGGUGAACAUCUCCAUGUUGAUCGUAUCUGCUAUACGACUCAUGUUCGACCUUUCGGUCUCUUGUGUUCCGAGGCCAUGUCUGUACAUGCUAGGCUCGUCAAGUCAACCUAAGUGUAUUGCGUGUGUGCCGAGGCCAUGUCUGUACAUGCUAGGCUCGUCAACACCCGUUGUAUUCGAACGUAAGAAUCUAUCACACCCGAUCAUCACGUGGUGCUUCGAAACGACGAACCUUCGCAACGGUGCACAGUUAGGGUGAACACUUUCUUGAAAUUUUAGUGAGGGAUCAUCUUACUUACUACCGUCGUUCUAAGCAAAUAAGAUGCAUAACAUGAUAAACAUCACAUGCAAUCAGAUAGUGACAUGAUAUGGCCAAUAUCAUUUUGCUCCUUUGAUCUCCAUCUUCGGGGCACCAUGAUCAUCUUUGUCACCGGCAUGACACCAUGAUCUCCAUCAUCAUGAUCUCCAUCAUUGUGUCUUCUUGAAGUUGUCACGCCAACGGUUACUUCUACUUCUAUGGCUAACGCGCUUAGCAAUAAAGUAAAGUAACUUACAUGGCGUUAUUCAAUGACACGCAGGUCAUACAAAAAAUAAAGACAACUCCUAUGGCUCCUGCCGGUUGUCAUACUCAUCGACAUGCAAGUCGUGAUCCCUAUUACAAGAAUAUGAUCAAUCUCAUACAUCACAUAUAUCAUUCAUCAUAUCUUCUGGCCAUAUCACAUCACAUAGCACUUGCUGCAAAAACAAGUUAGACGUCCUCUAAUUGUUGUUGCAAGUUUUUACGUGGCUUGUAUAGGUUUCUAGCAAGAACGUUUCUUACCUACGUAACACCACAACGUGAUAUGCCAAUUUCUAUUUACCCUUCAUAAGGACCCUUUUCAUCGAAUCCGUUCCGACUAAAGUGGGAGAGACAGACACCCGCUAGCCACCUUAUGCAACUAGUGCAUGUCAGUCGGUGGAACCUGUCUCACGUAAGCGUACGUGUAAGGUCGGUCCGGGCCGCUUCAUCCCACAAUGCCGCCGAAACAAGAUAAGACUAGUAGCGGCAAGAAGAAUUGACAACAUCGACGCCCACAACUACUUUGUGUUCUACUCGUGCAUAGAAACUACGCAUAGACCUAGCUCUGAUACCACUGUUGGGGAACGUAGCAGAAAUUCAAAAUUUUCUACGCAUCACCAAGAUCAAUCUAUGGAGUAAUCUAGCAACGAGGGGAAGGGGAGUGAAUCUACAUACCCUUGUAGAUCGCGAUGCGGAAGCGUUGCAAGAACGCGGAUGAGGGAGUCGUACUCGUAGCGAUUCAGAUCGCGGUUGAUUCCGAUCUAAGCACCGAAAGAACGGUGCCUCCGCGUUCAACACACGUGCAGCCCGGUGACGUCUCCCACGCCUUGAUCCAGCAAGGAGAGAGGGAGAGGUUGGGGAAGACUCCAUCCAGCAGCAGCACGACGGCGUGGUGGUGAUGGAGGAGCGUGGCAAUCCCGCAGGGCUUCGCCAAACACCGCGGGAGAGGAGGAGGAGGGAGAGGGGUAGGGCUGCGUCGAAAGGAGACGUUCUCAUGUGUGUAUGGCAGCCCAAACCUCAAGUAUAUAUAGGGGGGAAGGGGGCUGCGCCCCCCUUAGGGUUUCCACCCCCAAGAGGAGGCGGCCAGCCCUAGAUCCCAUCAAGGGGGGCGGCCAAGGGGAGGAGAGGGGGAGGCGCCCCACUAGAUGGGCCCUAAGGCCCAUCUGGACCUAGGGUUUGCCCCCUCCCACUCUCCCAUGCGCCUUGGGCCUUGGUGGGGGGGCGCACCAGCCCACCUGGGGCUGGUCCCCUCCCACACUUGGCCCACGCAGCCUUCUGGGGCUGGUGGCCCCACUUGGUGGACCCCCGGGACCCUCCCGGUGGUCCCGGUACAUCACCGAUUUCACCCGAAACUUUUCCGGUGACCAAAACAGGACUUCCCAUAUAUAAAUCUUUACCUCCGGACCAUUCCGGAACUCCUCGUGACGUCCGGGAUCUCAUCCGGGACUCCGAACAACAUUCGGUAACCACGUACAUGCUUUCCCUAUAACCCUAGCGUCAUCGAACCUUAAGCGUGUAGACCCUACGGGUUCGGGAACCAUGCAGACAUGACCGAGACGUUCUCCGGUCAAUAACCAACAGCGGGAUCUGGAUACCCAUGUUGGCUCCCACAUGUUCCACGAUGAUCUCAUCGGAUGAACCACGUUGUCGGGGAUUCAAUCAAUCCCGUAUUCAAUUCCCUUUGUCUAACGGUAUGUUACUUGCCCGAGAUUCGAUCGUCGGUAUCCCUAUACCUUGUUCAAUCUCGUUACCGGCAAGUCUCUUUACUCGUUCCGUAACUCACAUCAUCCCGUGAUCAACUCCUUGGUCACACUGUGCACAUUAUGAUGAUGUCCUACCGAGUGGGCCCAGAGAUACCUCUCCGUUUACACGGAGUGACAAAUCCCAGUCUCGAUUCGUGCCAACCCAACAGACACUUUCGGAGAUACCCGUAGUGCACCUUUAUAGCCACCCAGUUACGUUGUGACGUUUGGCACACCCAAAGCAUUCCUACGGUAUCCGGGAGUUGCACAAUCUCAUGGUCUAAGGAAGUGAUACUUGACAUUAGAAAAGCUCUGAGCAAACGAACUACACGAUCUUGUGCUAGGCUUAGGAUUGGGUCUUGUCCAUCACAUCAUUCUCCUAAUGAUGUGAUCCCGUUAUCAACGACAUCCAAUGUCCAUGGUCAGGAAACCGUAACCAUCUAUUGAUCAACGAGCUAGUCUCCUAGAGGCUUACUAGGGACAUGGUGUUGUCUAUGUAUCCACACAUGUAUCUGAGUUUCCUAUCAAUACAAUUCUAGCAUGGAUAAUAAACGAUUAUCAUGAACAAGGAAAUAUAAUAAUAACCUAUUUAUUAUUGCCUCUAGGGCAUAUUUCCAACACUCAUAACCGCGGGCACGGCUUUCGAAACAUAAUACCCUGCAGGGUUGUCCCAACUUAGCCCAUUAUAAGCUCUCACUGUCAACGAAGGAUAAACCUUCUCCCGGGAAGACUCGAUCAGUCUCGGAAUCCCGGUUUACAAGACAUUUCGACAAUGGUAAAACAAGACCAGCAAAGCCGCCCGAAUGUGCCGACAAAUCCCGAUAGGAGCUGCACAUAUCUCGUUCUCAGGGCACACCGGAUGAGCAGUCCGUACAACUAAAACCAGGCCUCAAGUUUCCCCGAGGUGGCGCUGCAAAGGGCUCUAGUUUGGACCAGCACUCAGACGAACACUGGCCCGGGGGUUUAAAUAAAGAUGACCCUCGGGCUCGCGAAAACCCAAGGGAAAAGGCUUAGGUGGCAAAUGGUAAAACCAAGGUUGGGCCUUGCUGGAGGAGUUUUAUUCAAGGCGAACUGUCAAGGGGGUCCCAUAAAUCACCCAACCGCGUAAGGAACGCAAACUCAAGGAACAUAAUACCGGUAUGACGGAAACUAGGGCGACAAGAGUGGAACAAAACACCAGGCAUAAGGCCGAGCCUUCCACCCUUUACCAAAUAUAUAGAUGCAUUAAUUAAAUAAGCGAUAUUGUGAUAUUCCAAAAUAUCCAUGUCCCAACAUGGAACCAACUUCAACUUCACCUGCAACUAGCAACGCUAUAAGAAGGGCUGAGCAAAAGCGGUAACUUAGCCAAACAACGGUUCGCUAGGAAAGGAUGGUUAGAGGCUGGACAUGGCAAUAUGGGAGGCAUGAUAUAGCAAGUGGUAGGUAGCGCAGCAUAGCAAUAGAACGAACAACUAGCAAAGCAAAGAUAGAAGUGAUUUCGAGGGUAUGGUCAUCUUGCCUGCAAGGUUCUCAGAGUUGUCGAAAGCUUGAUCCCCGUAAGCGUACUCAACAGGUUCCUCGUUCAUGAACUCGUCUCCUGGCUCUACCCACAGCAAGAACACAAGCAAUGGAACCACAAUCACUCACGGGAAAUGCACAAACAACAUGAUGCAAUACAUGUAUGAUAUGCGAUGCGUAUGCGUGCUCCGGAAGAAAAAGGAUGAACAAGGCAUUAACUUAGCAAACCAAGUAUGCCACCGGAAAGAUGAGAUGAUUUCGGUCGAAAUCGAUAUAAAGAUCACCGGAAACGGAUGCACAGUUUGCAAAUGGCAAGCAAAACAAGAUUGACAUGAAUCUGCGAUUAACAGCAUGAUAGCACUUAGAAUACAUCAAGUAACUAUGCUACAGCACACCAACAUAGCAACAAAGCAUGUGGUAGUGAUCUACAAGAGAUGCUUGACAAAAUAUGAACACUGAGCUACGGCUAGAUCACAGAAUAACAGGUUCAAAUAAGCAUGGCAAAAGUGCAAAAGAUAGCAGCUUCACAGACUUGGUGAAAAUACUGAACAUGGCAUAAACAGCAGCAGGUAGCAAUGUUUAGAGCUAGCAAACAACAUGCUCCAGGAACAUAUCAUGGGAAAAAGGGACAUGGAAUGCUAGUACUACAUGCACUUAACAAAACUCACUUAGUGAACGUGCUCCAGAAACCUACAGAAAUGAUGAUAGCAUCAAUGCAAACAUGGCAAGUGACAUAAACAGAUUCCAGACUUAGAAGAAUUUAAAGUCAUGGCAGAAACAGAUUCAUGAUAGUAUGUUUGCAAGCUUGUUUAACUCAAAAUAAAACAUAUCAUGGCAUGAGCUUGAUUCCAGAAGCAAGUAGGCAUGAUGAAGAGCAUGUUCAUGUGCAAAACUACCUCAUAGCAUAUUUGCAUAAUUAUACACAUGCAAGACAAAACAGCAACAUGAUGUAAAAUGACAUGCAUGCAAACUUGCUCAAAUGCAGAAACUAAAGCCACCACUGGAUUGGUGGGAUUUUUCUACUCCAAAAACAUAUAUAAUAUGUCUAGGUUGCAGUAGAAAAAUCCCCACAUUUAUGCAAAAACAAUUACUGCCUAAAAUGGAAACCUCAGCAUAUGCCAAAUCUGGCAUGUUCCGAAUUGGAAUAAAACAAAGGACAUGAGGGGAAAAGCUAGGUGCACCCAAGCUGUUCCCAGCCGUUAGACUGACUGGUAGGGCCGUGGGCCACGUGGCUGGGUGUGUGUAUGUCCGGUGGGGCCGAGGCGUCAGUGUCACAAUGAAAAGGAAAAAAAAAACACAGCAAAAUACUGCAGAGCCUGGGACUCGAACCCGAGACUUACUGCAACAGAGCGAGCGGGAGCAACCAGUGGGCUACAAGCCCGCCUUGUGAUCAAGAAGGGGUGCAUUACACUCAGAACAGAGGGCGUCCCGGUCCUGGAUACGCCAUGAACGCGCAGCAUAGUUCCGGCGUCGACGGCAAGCAACGGUGGCGACUUCUGUAGCUGCAGAGCACCGGCGGGCGUGCAGAAUGGGGGUAAGGUCCCGCGCGUGCAAGUGGAGCAGCAAAGGAAUGUGCGCGUGGAGGCCCUCCCGAGGACGAGCUCGUGCUCGCCUCGGUGGCUAAGACAUGGGGCUAGGCGAGACCUGGUGCUCGCGCAGGGAUGCUGCACUGCGGGAGCGGUUGCGCGGGCGAGGCCAGCGCAGCGAGGAGAACGCGGCUAGGAUAGAACCGGAGCGCGGGGACGCGCGGGUGCGCUACAGCAAAGAUACACACGACAUAAACUUCAGGCUUCGCCGGGGCACUGCGAACGCGCCAAAGACACGGAUCGGGCGAGUCCUACGGGUGCCUACACGCCAUGGAAUGGAUGGGAUAGGGAGGUGCGUUACCCAGCUCACCCUCGGACACGAUGGGAUCGACGGAGACGAGCCUGCGGCGACGCGGACAAGCUCUGAACCUGGCGGGGCUACUGUCCGCGAAGCAGGGGAGGAAGAGGACGACGGGGAAGUAGCCGGACUUGGCGAUCCCAGGCGAGGAAGAGGACGACGGGGACGUAGUCGACGUCGUGGAGGAAGACGGACGUGCUUGGCGAGGCGGAGGUGGCCGCAGUGCACGCCGGCGACGUGGACGCGCUCUCAGGCACGCUCGGGAAGCGGCGGAAGCGAAGGAUCUGGGGGAGUUUUCUCCCCUGGCGGCGGCGGAGGAUGGAGAGGGAAACCCUAGGGGUUAGGUGCGGACGCCGAGAGGGGGCUUAAGUAGGCGCGGCGCGGCUAGCUGGCUCGCCACCGUGGCCAUGGCACGGCGAAAAGUAGAGGAAGAGGAAGGAGAAAAGGUGGCGGAUGUGGCUGCCGCUCUCGCUGACGCGGGGGACCCGCUUGUCCACGUGGUUCGAGUGAGAGAGAGGGGUGUGCGGCGCUCGUGUGAGAAAGGGGGGAAGCAACGUGCGCGCGGGCUGGCUGGGCUGGCUGCUAGAGCUGCUGCUGCGCUCGGCUGGGGAAAGAGAGGCCCAGGUAAGCCUUUUCUUUUAUUUGCAUUUCCUCAGACAGAAAAACAAAAAUGAAAAGGGCCGGUACAAAGAAGAGGGAUUUGGGAAAUAUGAAAAUAUUCCCAUGCUCCUGAUAUAAUGUUAUAUUUGAAAUAAUUGCCUUGGACAUUUUUAGAGGUGGAAAAAUAAAACAAGUUUGAAUAUAAUUCAAACUUAAGGUAUUUUUGAACCUAACCAAAACAACUUCACAAGAUCUGACAUUUUGCAGAGAGGUUUAGGGCGAGAUGCUUGAAAUAUUGGGGAAAAGAUGAACAUUAAUGGAGUAGGUAAAAGGUGCACUUGCAAAAAGAAAUAAAGGAAAGGAAGGAGAAGUGGUGAUGACGCAAGACUCAUGCAUGGAACAUGCAACAACAUAAAAUGUAUGAAAUCACACCAUGCACAUGAUGAGGAUGAGAAUGCAAGAUGACACCAAGCACAAAUGCAAAACGAGAGACAAAAACCCAACCACGAAGGAAAAUCAUAUCACAUAGCCCGAAAUGGCAAGAUUUGGAGUUACAAAUAUGGCAAGUCACAUCCGGGGUGUUAUAGUGCCCCUAGCCGUGGAGGUAACCCUGUUUUGCUCAUAUCUUUCUCUCGGGGUGUACCAAUUAUCGGUGCCCCAACUCGUUCGAAUCCGACCAAAGGGUUAAAAUUAACCCAGAGGUUUUCCCCCGGAGUAGUUAUCUUUGCAAUUGUGCUGUAACCCUAGGAAUCUAGAGGACGAGAUUCUUUUUAAGGGGGGAAGGUUUGUAACAGCCCCAAAAUUGGGUUAUCAAUUUUUGAGCUGUUAUUCCUUCCUGGCACUCAUUUUCAAAAUCUUUCUCCUGAGUUUGUUGGAUGACUCUAAGAAUUCUUGUCAUUUCCAACCAUUCAACACCUUGCUCAUGUCUUUUUCAGUGGGCAAGACCUCAUUUGCAUCAACUCAAACCCUCUCAAACCCUAAUUCCAAAUUUUUGGAAUUUGAAUAUGCCCUUUGUGAAUACAAAGGAGUCAUCAUUUUCUUUGAUCUGUUGGUCAACCCGUCUGUUCCCAGAGACCCCCCUAUCCUUGUAAACCUUGGAUCUGCAAAAAUAUUGCCAAGUCCCAUGCACUAUUUUUGAAUUAUGAUUUAUUCCUUUUCUUGCCUUUCUGAGGAAUAAAAUCCAAAGGCAUAGCUAGCCAUCUCCUAAAUUCAUGAGAAUUGGUGGAGUUGAUAUUUAUGCCUAAUCCAAGCCCUGACAAAUAUAUUGGCCACAAUUAAAUAAGGAAAAUUGCCUUUUCCUAUUUAAUACCAAUAUUGCAUUUCUGCCAUUUUCUAAAGGAACUACUAUUUUUGUAGCAGAGAAAAUUCCCACAUAAAUUGUGGAGCUUGCCCUUGCUAUAUAAUCACUAGUUCCAUCCUUAUCCCAUGUUCCUCAGAUAAAAAAUAGGGCACAUGAUCCAAUGCAAGUUUCUGCCUUCUUUGAAAUUUUGCAAAGGAAGUGCCUUAUUCCUAAUUCCUAUUGAGCUGCAAUUUGGCAGGGUGAUUAACCUUGAUAAAUCAGCCAUGGAUACCAAAGAUGAGCUCAAUCCAUUCAUUCUAGCUCCCUGUGCAAUUUUUCAAAGUUUCUGACCAGAAUACAACUUGGUGAAGGAAGUACCUUCAUAGAGUUUCCAAAUGGGAUGAAACUUUUCCAUCUUCUCAAGUAUCUCAAAUCAUUAGCCUCCACCUAAAUUCAGUUCAUUUCAUUGAACUAUGUGAGCACGUGAGCAAUUCUUGGUUUCUGUCCAAAUUUUCAGUUUAUGAAGCAAGUCUAUUUUAUCUUGCUCCAUUAUGGCUGAAAAUUUCCCAGGCCUUCUCCUAUCCAUAUAACCUAUCUCCAACAAAUUUUGGCUCAUUUCAUCUAGCCAAUAUUUUCUUGGAUUUUUCCAAAGUUUCUGGUCAGAUGUGAUGCUUGUGAAACAAGUACCAAUUUGGCAACAACAUUCGGUAUGAUCUUUUUGCAGCAUCUAAACAUGACCAAGUCAUGGAGCUUUGCCAAGUUUUAGCUCAAUCCAACACUCCUAGUGAGUGCUUCUUCAUCAUUUGUUUUCUGGGCCAUAUUUCCAAGUUGCACUGCAGCUAUGUUAAAUACUUGCCCAAAUCCCUUCUAACUUUCCAGGACCGUAGUCCUUGCUACCCUAAGCCUCCUAGACAUCAAGUUUGCCACUUAACCUCUCUUGUUUAGUCUCUAGAACAUGGCCAAGUUUGCAACAACAAACUUGUCGAGCUCGUGUCUCUCUGCUCCCAACACUUCUGCCCGUGCUAUCACCUUUUCUUUAAUGAGCCUUGGAAGGACUCCACUGAUGACAAGGUUUCGCGUGAAGUAGUCGACCAGCGCGCGCGUUGUCGGUGGUGACCACGGGCAAUGUAGGCCAAAACUGUGGUCUCGUCACUGUUGGCAACAGUAGCGCAGCUCCGGCUGGCUCUGGCUCGUCCAAGCUUGUCAACCAGCUCAGCCUCAUCGUCGCCGUGCGCCUUGACCCCUUUCCACCUUUGGUUGCUUCCUCGUUGAGCCGUCGCCGUCGCCGAACAGUGAGCGUCCGUGUGCAUCGUCGCCUUCCUCGCUCUUGUCCCUUUCCCCCUCUCGUCCGCGAGCGUUGCUAGACUCCAUGAGCUCCUGCGUGUCGUCCGCAACCCCCUCGUCGCCUUCCCACCGCUCCCCGUGACCCUUGGCCGCGCGUGCGCUUUGCCGGCGCACGGACACGUAGCCGCGCCACGUGUCGCCUCUCCCCUGCCCUAGAGCCCUUCCCCGCGGCUAUUUAAGCAUGCCCCGAGAUUCCUCGCAGCCCACAACCCCUCCCUGAGCCUCUCCCCGAGCCGGAGCCCCUCCUUGUCUGCUCCAUGGCCGAAGCCUCACCGCCGGCCGCCGCCUAAAUUGAUCCAGUGCCGUGCUCCCCUUGCCUCCCUUCCUCCACCAGUAGGAUCCCCGGAGUCCGGCGACCCAUUCCCCCUCGUUCCCUCGGCUACAAGUCACCGGAGCCCCGCGACCAUCUCUUCCCGAAGCCGACGUCCGCCCUGUCUCUACCCGUCGCCCCUCAGCCCUUCCUUGGUGUCCGCAACCGGUCCGGGCGGACACGGCGCUCCGCCCCGAGCGCGCAGGUGCCCCUGCCAUCGCCGGAGGUGGCCGGAGCCGCCGGGCCCGUCGCCGGUGUCGCGGCGCCUGGCCUCUGCCUCGCCCCUCUCUCUGCUUCUGUCGGGCGCGAGCGAGAAGAAGGAGCGGGAGGAGAGAGAAAGGACUAGGGCCCAACCCGUCAGUCGCACGAGGGGUUGACCCCGGGCUCUGACAUGGAUAAGUGGCCGCGUACUUCUGAAAAUAUGCUUUCCCUAAGCCGAAAGUGUAUUCUUUCUCUUCUUCAGGCCAGAAUGCGCUUUCCUCUCUGGAAAGCUUAUUUCUGAGAAAGGCACGUUCAGUUUUUCCUCCAGGGGCCUGUUUGCUGAAAAAAUUUCACCGAUAGGUCCCUGAGCUUCAACCCUUCGUAUCUCAACAACCGUAACUCCAAUUGAGGUGAAACCAACGCUUACGUCUUCGUCUCGUCGAACUCUUUCCGUUGGUAUCAUUUUCAUUAUGUUUUCACACCGUGGAAAUGACCACUUUGCCCUUGCACGUAAACAGCCCCCUCCGAGAGAGAACUGUUUCCGGCUACUCUUUCCGUGAUCGUUUCACACUUCUUCCCGAAGUAUUUGUCGACCCCUAGGCAAGCCAACCUCUUAUUAUGAGCCCCAAACUUGCAUGUUGACUUUGCUUGCACCUCGUGUGUGUUUAGUUGCAGUAGUUUCUUGUCUGUUCCGUCUGCUGAUAUUUUAGUCAUGCUAUAUGUUUUUGUUAUCUGUCUUGCAUGCUUAUGCUUUCAUGAAAUAACUUGACAUGCUAGUUUACUGUUGUUACUGAUAAUAUCAUGCCUCUACCUAGUUUAUUUUCAUUUUAGUAGUAUCGAUGUUAUGAUAAUUCUGGUGCACUAGUGAAAUUACUAGUACUUGUUAUUGCCAUGUUUCGCAUGCUAUCAUUGUUCUUUUGAAAUGCUUGAUGUUUUGUUACUGCAUCGGUAAGUUGCAUGUUAGUUGUUGCAUUUAUGUUAAUAAUGCUCGCAUCAUAAUUGAUGAUGGAGAAGUUAAUAAUAUGACUUAAUAACAAACCUCCUCCGUCAUCACUGGGAUAUCACAGCGCCACCCAACUCGCGCUUUCUCCAGUGCAACCACAUUUACCUUAUGGGGAGGUCCUAGCUGGGUCUAUUCUCAUGCCUCUCACCGGUGCCUCCUGCAAGGGAAGGUUAUGGGAACGCGCUACCCUGAUCAGGUAGGUGGACAUAACCUUGUGUGCUCGUUUUUUGUUUUUAUGGUACCUUGUCCCCGUUUGGGACCGUUUUGCCACGACGGUGGCCGUUGGUGUCUUUGGUAGACACGGGGCCACCCAGGACUGAACCCCAAGGGGGUGUUGGUCGGAGUGGCCGGGAGAGUGUCAUGGCAGUAGCUCAGUUUUGUCGGAACACCAUGGUCCGCACAUAUGGGAGUGCGAGGCCAGGGUUCCGUGGUGUGGGUAAAGUGUGCUACCUCUGCAGAGUGUAUGUUUAAUCUAUCGAUAGCCGCGUCCUCGGUCAUGGGCACAAGUUCGUAGUAGGUCACACUAUCGGGUCUCGGUCGAAAUGGAGGAUAAACCUGCUAAUAACUUGUGUGAUAAUUAAAAUGUGAUAAAUCAUGUGAUGACUUGGACUAUGGGAAAAUCGUGAGAAGUCACGGUGAUGCGUUGAUAUGACCCCCGAGACGAGGUCUCGGUAAGUCAUGCGUGUGCUCCGAGGAGCCGUGGCAGAGUAAGUGAUUGUUGCAUAAGGUUAAUACAACAUAUCUUCAUGGGAGGUAAAUGGUAGUUUAUUUUCAGCAUAGUUUCAUGAUGCCAUGCCACGUUUUGAUAUGCUAUGCUUUGCUUUUGCUAUGUUAGAAGUAAUUUUGAUAUGCCAUGCUAGUAGAUGCUAUGCUGCUAUUCAUGCUUAGUUUGAUUUAUGAUUCUAGUUAAUAUCAUGCCAUGCUUAGAAGUUGUGUUGAAGUAGACUGUUUUCAUAUGAUUAGUUCUUGCUUUGUCAUCUGUUUGUUUGGAUGCUAUGUAUUUGGUUGUCUUGUAAGUACAUUCAAUGUACUGACCUGGCGUGUCAUGCCAGUUUUGUAGGUCGUGCCCGAAUUGUUCGCUUGUUCCGUCGUGCUAGGCCGUAAUCUUGCCAGUCCUGUGAGUUAUGGAGUCCAUCCAGAGUGAGACGCUGCCAAACCAAGACUUCCGCCGCCAUUUAAAUAGACUUCCGCUGCCAUUUAAUAGCCUUAGGGCUAUGCCAGAUAAUUGUAUUCAUCAAUGAUGUAACUAUAUACACAUGUAAUUGAUGAAUAUUAUUGUACCUGGAAUGCUGUAUCAUGGACCUGUCGUGCGUCAGGUGUUAUCCUGGGCUAACGUGCGAAGGCCCCAUGCUCC
rnacentral:lncRNA from 1 species